ensembl:lncRNA
GGUGGCCCGGUGGCUAGAGCCACUGCCCCUUUGCCCUCAUCGGCUGAGGUGCCCCUCCUACCAAUCCCCCCAUUAACCCCAGCUCAGAGCGGUCUGUUCCCGCUCCACUAAAGAUCUGCUGAUUCUGCUAAUCCACUCUGUGUUUUCCCCCCACUUCGCCGCAUCACUCACAAUUUGUGUGCCCCUCUCUGGAGUGGAGACCACAGUCCCCAAAGCUCGUUGCUUUAACAGACCUCUAAGCUCCCAUCUGCCCUUGCGGGAUGUGAAUCCUUAUGAAUGCAGGCAGCUUGCCCACUUUUGUUGUUCUAUCAACAUGAUGGCCACUCUCAGUCUGCUUCAGUCAUUUGAUGCCACAGCACUCUCAGUCCAUCAGUGGUGACUCAGUCGGUGGCCCAGUGUACAGAUGAGAACACAGUGUACCAUUAACAACCUCCAGAGUCAUUGAACAUGCAGCGUUCUGGUCUGCUGCCUCGGCUUUUAACACAAUAAAUCAGACUGCUGCCUUCACUGACUCCCUGAAGAUCAGCCGAAUGCUCCUCGUCCCUGUGUUGCUCUUCAUGUCAGGGAAUUCCUUAGAGAACAUCAGAAUAUGCUGUCAUUUUUCAUCUGCUGUCGCACUGACAGAACUGAACGACCCCAUGAAAUCAGAACAGAAGUGUUGUGGUUUCUAGUCACAUUCUGGAAAACAGAUCAAAACAAUGAUGCCUCAUCUUGUUUGCAUAACUUUGGUCAGUGGCGUGCUCAGGGGAGGCCCUUUUAAUCGCCGAUGCCUGUUACCGACUAGCUAGUAGCAAUUCCUGUUUUUAUUAUUUUAAAAAAGUCUACAUAGCAAGUAAAUUGUACUUCUGAAACUAUUGUUAGGAUUUUAUUAGUGAAUUUACUGUGUACUGUAGGUACGUUUUUUUUUUUAAGUUUUUGUUGUUGUUGUUGUUUUUCCAAUGAGCCUAUGUUGAUUUUCAAAAGGGACCUCAACAAUGUGAACUGUGCUCAUAUUAGCCAAGAUUUCCAGGAUAUCAAUUGAUCAAUUGAUCUGAGGUAUGCUGUCCACUUUACUUUUAUAGCUCUACGCUUAUGUCUUAAAUACUUUUGUAUUUGUCUUUUCAUAAGUGUCAUGAUGUAUGAAAGAUGAAACCAACAAUAAAGGAAACAAAGUGCUUGAACACACA